UCUCUCCACAGUAGUUCAGUAAAUUGCCU
rnacentral:piRNA from 1 species